rnacentral:rRNA from 1 species
UACGUAGGGUGCAAGCGUUUAAUCGGAAUUACUGGGCGUAAAGCGUGCGCAGGCGGUUGGGCAAGACAGAUGUGAAAUCCCCGGGCUAACCUGGGAAUGGCAUUUGUGACUGCCCGGCUAGAGUGUGUCAGAGGGGGGUAGAAUCCACGUGUAGCAGUGAAAUGCGUAGAGAUGUGGAGGAAUACCGAUGGCGAAGGCAGCCCCCUGGGAUAACGACUGACGCUCAUGCACGAAAGCGUGGGGAGCAAACAGG